rnacentral:rRNA from 1 species
AGCGAACGCUGGCGGCAGGCCUAACGCAUGCAAGUCGAACGAACUCUUCGGAGUUAGUGGCGGACGGGUGAGUAACACGUGGGAACGUGCCUUUUGGUUCGGAAUAACUCAGGGAAACUUGUGCUAAUACCGAAUGUGCCCUUCGGGGGAAAGAUUUAUCGCCAUUAGAGCGGCCCGCGUCUGAUUAGCUAGUUGGUGAGGUAACGGCUCACCAAGGCGACGAUCAGUAGCUGGUCUGAGAGGAUGACCAGCCACACUGGGACUGAGACACGGCCCAGACUCCUACGGGAGGCAGCAGUGGGGAAUCUUGCGCAAUGGGCGAAAGCCUGACGCAGCCAUGCCGCGUGAAUGAUGAAGGUCUUAGGAUUGUAAAAUUCUUUCACCGGGGUCGAUAAUGACGGUACCCGGAGAAGAAGCCCCGGCUAACUUCGUG